rnacentral:rRNA from 1 species
GAUGAACGCUGGCGGCGUGCCUAAUACAUGCAAGUCGAGCGAACGGACGAGAAGCUUGCUUUUCUGAUGUUGCGGCGGACGGGUGAGUAACACGUGGAUAACCUACCUAUAAGACUGGGAUAACUUCGGGAAACCGGAGCUAAUACCGGAUAAUAUUUUGAACCGCAUGGUUCAAAAGUGAAAGACGGUCUUGCUGUCACUUAUAGAUGGAUCCGCGCUGCAUUAGCUAGUUGGUAAGGUAACGGCUUACCAAGGCAACGAUGCAUAGCCGACCUGAGAGGGUGAUCGGCCACACUGGAACUGAGACACGGUCCAGACUCCUACGGGAGGCAGCAGUAGGGAAUCUUCCGCAAUGGGCGAAAGCCUGACGGAGCAACGCCGCGUGAGUGAUGAAGGUCUUCGGAUCGUAAAACUCUGUUAUUAGGGAAGAACAUAUGUGUAAGUAACUGUGCACAUCUUGACGGUACCUAAUCAGAAAGCCACGGCUAACUACGUG